rnacentral:rRNA from 1 species
CCUACGGGAGGCAGCAGUCGAGAAUCAUUCACAAUGGGGGAAACCCUGAUGGUGCGACGCCGCGUGGGGGAAUGAAGGUCUUCGGAUUGUAAACCCCUGUCAUGUGGGAGCAAAUUAAAAAGAUAGUACCACAAGAGGAAGAGACGGCUAACACUGUGCCAGCAGCCGCGGUACUACAGAGGUCUCAAGCGUGCUUCGGAAUCACGGGGCGUAAAGCGUGCGUAGGCUGUUUCGUAAGUCGUGUGUGAAAGGCGCGGGCUCAACCCGCGGACGGCACAUGAUACUGCGUGACUAGAGUAAUGGAGGGGGAACCGGAAUUCUCGGUGUAGCAGUGAAAUGCGUAGAUAUCGAGAGGAACACUCGUGGCGAAGGCGGGUUCCUGGACAUUAACUGACGCUGAGGCACGAAGGCCAGGGGAGCGAAAGGGAUUAGAUACCCGAGUAGUC